UCUGAUCGGCUCGGAUGGUAUUCAUAACAAUAUUGAUCUUCCUCAUCAUGAGCGCGCUGAAGCAAUGAUUGUUAAGGGCCACCUAGCUGGCAAUCAGCUUGUUCCGGGUAUAGAAAAACAACAUAAUUGGUUGUAUAUAUCAUCUCCCUGUAUUGUUCAUAAAUUUUAGUUCUAGUUGUUUACAAGUUGCAUAUAUAUCACUAAUUAUGUUUCUGUAUAGCUUGUAAGACAGCGUAUGUAUAUGGCUUCAUGCAUGAUAAAAUUUCCAUUUCCUACAUGGUUUGCUUACUUACUCAUACCAAGUUGAUUAGUAAGAUGCUGAACACUUCAAGAUGGUGAUUUCAUUAUAUACAUCGUUAUUGGAUUUCGCUGUGCAGCAAGAAAAAUGUGGUUAAUUCAUACCUCCGCCGUUCUUAACUGGAUGUUUACUGCCAAACUGCUUCCUGGUGUUUCUUAUCUGAAGUGUUAAUCAAAUUGCCAAACCAUGCUUUAUAUCUUUUGUUUGCGUGAAAUUUCUGAAUCAGCUGUCAAGAUAUAUAGCUGAGAUUUACCUUUAUUAUUAUGGAUCAUGCUACACAGUCCUUGCUGAUGAAGUUUUCAGCUAUCACUAUGACGUUUCAGUUCUUAAAAUAGCUUGGUAGUUGCAAUUUGCGGCUUUUGAAUUAUGUAUUUAUAAAUGCAGAUAUCUUGUCUACUUUGUUAGUUGAAUAAUUUUGCUCCCUUUACUUGUGAGUUGUGAUAGCCUAGCUAGCCAGUAAUCUUACUCCUUUAUAUGUGUGAUGAAACUUAUAUCUCUAAAUGUAAUUCCUACUUUUGAAUAGCUAGUUCAAUUAUUCUCUCACCUCAACUAUAAUGAGUAAAAUCAUCUAGCCGGUCGUCUAGGUUAUUUUCUGUGAUGAAUUCUUCACACUCAUAUUUAAAACAGGAUUAUGUUUUGCAGCUUUUGCCACCGUAUAUUAUUAGUUACAAAUUAGAGGUUAAUUAUCAUCCUAGAAUUAGAAUUGUCGCAUCCACUUUAUACACCAAUGUAAAAACAAUUAAUGUUUUUUUUGUCCAAGGACUAUAAUCGUUUGUGGUCGAUCAAUUUAAUCUUUCCAAUAUUUUUUCCCACCCAGUGCGAGCAUGCAUAUUACUACAACAGUUAACAGUUCAUUAGAAUUAGCAGAAGAAACAUUAUUGACAUUGGAAAAUGAACAGCAAGCCGCAAAUAUUGAGAUUGAUGCAGAGGUAGAGUACUGGAUCUGGUAGCCAAAAGCUCAAUGACAACUCUGGUCUCAGCCUCUCGCUCAGUGCAGGUAAGGCUGCAGAGCAAGUCCUUACAAGUCUUGGUUAUCCAUCCUCGGUUAUAUAUUUAUACUGUUACUAAAGUAUAAUAUGCACUUUCACUUCUAAUUAUUCGAUCCCAGUGAGACAAAAGUGAGGCUGUUAAAGAGGGCCGGGGUAAACUACUACAAGCUUGUAUGAACGAUUUCUAAAGAAAAUACUAACAGCAUGAGAAAACGUUAUUAAUCCAGCCAAAUUAACUAUUUGAAGUUUUGAACCAUGGAUUAACAUCAAGAACCACAAUCAUAUGAGGAUUACUAAUUAGAUAGAUCACUUCCAACUCAAAAAGAGAUAGAACAACUAUAUAAUAGGUAGAUUACUACUGACCUAGAACGCCUGCAUAAUUGCAUUGUUCGAUAUCUCUGUAUUAACUGGGCCGGCGAUCAAUCUAUGUCUCCACAUCGCCGCCCUCAAAGAAAGACAACGCCAAAAACCAAGCAAUAGCAGCUCAAAAAACGUACAGAUUUGGUUUACAACUGUUGAUCAGUUACACUACUACUGGAACUUUUUGUAUGAGAAGAUAGUGUAUAUGUUGCAGCUGCACUACUACUUCUGUGAAGUUUACACUUUACUGCAAAAGUCGAGAGAGAGAGAGCUAAAGAGAGAGAGCCCUUAACACUCUCUUUUCUUGUGUAGGUAUGCUUCAUUAUUUAAAGCCGUGUAUCGAGAUCUUUCUCUUCUUUCAGUGUAGGAUUUGUCUGUCUGAAAUUGAUCAGUUGCGUGAUCUUAUGGCAGUGUUAGGUUUGGUUAACCUCUAGCCAUACAUUCAUGUAGAUAGCUAAGCUAGAUCAGAUGUAGGCUGUACGUACGUAUUUGUA
rnacentral:lncRNA from 1 species